UAAAGAUGAAGCUGAAGACUCAGGCCUGGACAAGAGGAAUAGUCAAGUAGUGAAGAGAGUCCAGAGGGAUUCACAUCCAGGAAAGAAAAGGCUCUGAGUCAAAGCAGAGUCCAAGGUUUGGCUGAACCACUUCACAUCUUCCUCUCAAUUUCCUCCGAGACUGAACAGACACAACAAACGGCACUGGGAAGGUGGGACUCCCUGUUCCACUGGAAUCCUUGGGCAGGGGGUUGUUUCCAAAUUCCUGGCUGGAUCUGCACUCCAGAUCCAUUCCCUCCAGCAAGGGAAAGUGUCACAUUUCCACAGAUAUUACCAAAUACUUUUGUUACCUUUAAAAAAACCAACGGAAUGUGACCAUUAUAGGAGAGCAAGAACAGCUCUCCUAGGGGCCUAUAGGGUUCCUGCCUCUGCUGCAUGGCAGGGAGGUACAAAAGCCCUAAUCUUGUUUGGCAGCUGGGGCUUUUAGUGAGCAGCUUUGCUUUGAGAAGAGAAAUAACGGACCUGGAAUGCUGAUCCCUUCUCUCUGCCACCCCAGGCACCUAUGACUGCUGUGGGAUGCAUCCAGAGCAAUUAGCAGUAGCAUCACGCUCCUGGGCAGGGCUGAUGGAUAACCUAGGGUGGAACCUCCAAUGACCAUUCCCUUUAGUGUUGGAUACCAGGCUGGUGAAUCCAUAGACUGUUGCACAGUCUAUUGUAGGAGUUAGGAGCUGCCAAGUGGGGGUGAGUGACAGAAAAAAACCCAGCCUUCUCUGCACAGCUGGGAUUUUCAGCAUCUCUUUUUGCUUCUGCCU